CCUACGGGAGGCAGCAGUGAGGAAUAUUGGUCAAUGGGCGGAAGCCUGAACCAGCCAAGUAGCGUGAAGGAUGACUGCCCUACGGGUUGUAAACUUCUUUUAUAAAGGAAUAAAGUGAUGCACGUGUGCCUUUUUGUAUGUACUUUAUGAAUAAGGAUCGGCUAACUCCGUGCCAGCAGCCGCGGUAAUACGGAGGAUCCGAGCGUUAUCCGGAUUUAUUGGGUUUAAAGGGAGCGUAGGUGGGUUGUUAAGUCAGCUGUGAAAGUUUGCGGCUCAACCGGAGAAUUGCAAUUGAUACUGGCAGUCUUGAGUACAGUGGAGGUAGGCGGAAUUCGUGGUGUAGCGGUGAAAUGCUUAGAUAUCACGAAGAACUCCGAUUGCGAAGGCAGCUUACUACACUGGAACUGACAUUGAUGCUCGAAAGUGCGGGUAUCAAACAGGAUUAGAUACCCUGGUAGUC
rnacentral:rRNA from 1 species